rnacentral:misc_RNA from 1 species
GUUCUUCUUUUUAUGACCCUCGCUGUGUUUGCUCCAUUGGCAUGCUUCAAGCGGAUAGAUUCAUUGAGAUACACAUCUGCCUUAGCAAUUGCACUAGCAGUGGUUUUUCUCAUUGUUACUGCUGGAGUCACAGUGUUCAAAUUGGUCAAUGGAAGUGUUGCCAUGCCUAGGUUGCUUCCUAAUGUCACAGAUAUCACAUCAUUCUGGAAUCUCUUCACCGUCGUCCCCAUUUUUGUGACAGCAUUUAUCUGUCAUUUCAAUGUUCAUACAAUUGAAAAUGAGCUGGAAGACUCUUCUAUGAUACAGCCAGUCGUGUGGACUUCACUAGCUCUAUGCUCUACUGUCUACAUGAUGACAAGCUUCUUUGGGUUCCUUCUAUUUGGCAACUCAACUCUAGAUGAUGUUUUGGCCAACUUCGACACCAACCUUGGUGUCCCUUACAGCUAUGUGCUCAAUGAUGUUGUUCGCAUCAGCUAUGCUCUCCACCUCAUGCUUGUUUUCCCAGUCGUGUUUUAUCCAUUGCGCCAGAAUCUGGAUGGCCUUCUUUUUCCCUUGGCCAGGCCUUUGGUUUCAGAUAACUGUAG